UACGUAGGGUGCAAGCGUUGUCCGGAAUUAUUGGGCGUAAAGAGCUCGUAGGCGGUCUGUCGCGUCUGCUGUGAAAACUCGGGGCUUAACCCCGGGCCUGCAGUGGGUACGGGCAGACUAGAGUGCGGUAGGGGAGACUGGAAUUCCGGGUGUAGCGGUGGAAUGCGUAGAGAUCCGGAAGAACACCGGUGGCGAAGGCGGUCUGCUGGGCAGUGGCUCGCAAGGGCCAAUAGCCGACACUGAGGCGCGACAGCGUGGGGAGCAAACAGG
rnacentral:rRNA from 1 species